CAAUACCAGCUGACUGAGGAAAGCAAAAAACGUUUCCAUCCCGUUACCAUUGUCCUAACACAUCAUCUCCUUUCUCUCGCAACCUGCAAGCACCGAUAAAAGUUCCUCCUCGUCUUAACAGAAGCCUGAAAAAUGUUUUUAUUCGGGUUAUUUAAGAAAUAUGAAGGGUUAUUGAUUUUGAGCUCGGUUUCGUUGACCUACUCAAGUUAUAUAUCUUUAAUAGCAACCUACAUUUUAACUACUUUCCGAUUAUAGAAAUGUACUUUUAGUUUGACUUUAAUAUCAUCCUACUACUAUACCAAGAUUCUUAUCGGCAAUCUUUCAAAUUAUUGGUUUGAUUGUUAGAGUGGAUUACACUAAAAGCAAGGGACUUCCAUUGAUUUGAUUGUUAGUCGGAGUAAAUUACACUUGUGGUCCUUUAGCUUAGCAUUUUUCUUUGGGUUUGGUCCGAAAAGGAAUUGGUUAGCAAAUUUUAUGUUUCUUAACUUUUUUAGU